rnacentral:lncRNA from 1 species
GCACCUGUCCCAGGAAGCCAGGCUCUUGGAACCCGGGGCUGGAUCUCUUCCUCAGAGUUGCCUGGUGCAGUGAUCCAGAGCGCGCUCAACCCAGGAAGAGGCAGCGGUGGUAGAACCAUGUGUUCUGCAAUCGCCUGGAAUGGACGGUAGAGAGAUGGAUUUUUAUGAGGACUACGAGUCCCCAUUUGAUUUUAAUACAGGAGUAAACAAAAACUAUCUCUACCUGUCUCCCAGUGGAAAUACGUCCCCACCAGGAUCACCUACUCUUCAGAAGUUUGGUCUGCUGAGAACAGACCCAGUACCUGAGGAAGGAGAAGAUGUUGCUGCCACAAUUGGUGCCACCGAGACUCUGUCAGAGGACGAGCGAGAGGAGCUGAGAAGAGAGCUUGCAAAGGUAGAAGAAGAAAUCCAGACUCUGUCUCAAGUGUUAGCAGCAAAAGAGAAGCACCUAGCGGAGAUCAAGCGGAAACUUGGGAUCAAUUCACUACAGGAACUAAAACAGAACAUUGCCAAAGGGUGGCAAGAUGUGACAGCUACAUCUGCGUAUAAGAAGACCUCUGAAACCUUAUCUCAGGCCGGACAGAAGGCUUCAGCUGCUUUUUCGUCUGUUGGCUCUGUCAUCACCAAAAAGCUGGAAGAUGUAAACAUACGCUCCAUUCAACACUCAAUUAGCAUGCCUGCUAUGAGAAACUCCCCAACUUUCAAAUCAUUUGAAGAAAAGGUCGAAAACUUAAAGUCUAAAGUCGGGGGAAACAAGCCUGCUGGUGGUGAUUUCGGAGAAGUCUUGAAUUCAACUGCAAGCGCUAGUGCCACCACCACGGAGCCUCUUCCAGAGCAGACACAGGAGAGCCUGUGAGCCCCCCACCUUUGUUCUGCUACUCACUGCCAGAUGCUGCAAGCGAGAUCCAAGCACAUCUUGUCAACAUUCAUUGCCAUGAACUUCCACCAGAUGUGCUUUUGUUGAGCUUUACAUAUUCCUUUGACCAA